CAGAGCCGCGGGAAUACGUAGGGUGCGAGCGUUAAUCGGAAUUACUGGGCGUAAAGCGUGCGCAGGCGGUUGUGUAAGACAGGUGUGAAAUCCCCGGGCGUAACCUGGGAACCGCGCUUGUGACUGCACAGCUAGAGUAUGGCAGAGGGGGGUGGAAUUCCACGUGUAGCAGUGAAAUGCGUAGAGAUGUGGAGGAACACCGAUGGCGAAGGCAGCCCCCUGGGCCAAUACUGACGCUCAUGCACGAAAGCGUGGGGAGCAAACAGGAUUAGAUACCCCCGUAGUCCCUGUCUCUUAUACA
rnacentral:rRNA from 1 species